UAGGGAAUCUUCGGCAAUGGACGAAAGUCUGACCGAGCAACGCCGCGUGAGUGAAGAAGGUUUUCGGAUCGUAAAACUCUGUUGUUAGAGAAGAACAAGGACGUUAGUAACUGAACGUCCCCUGACGGUAUCUAACCAGAAAGCCACGGCUAACUACGUGCCAGCAGCCGCGGUAAUACGUAGGUGGCAAGCGUUGUCCGGAUUUAGUGGGCGUAAAGCGAGCGCAGGCGGUUUCUUAAGUCUGAUGUGAAAGCCCCCGGCUCAACCGGGGAGGGUCAUUGGAAACUGGGAGACUGGGGUGCAGAAGAGGAGAGUGGAAUUCCAUGUGUAGCGGUGAAAUGCGUAGAUAUAUGGAGGAACACCAGUGGCGAAGGCGGCUCUCUGGUCUGUAACUGACGCUGAGGCUCGAAAGCGUGGGGAGCAAACAGG
rnacentral:rRNA from 1 species